GACAAAAACAGAAAAAUUGAUAACCUGCGCCUAAAACCUAUAAAUCUUUAGGUGGAAUCAAAAACAGGGUCUUGUUUGAUGACGAAUCUCUCAAAAAGACAAAAAGGAUUCCACCUAACGAUUUAAAGGUUUUAGGCACGGGUUAUCAAUUUUUCUGUUUUGGUC